UGGGGGAUAACGUCCGGAAACGGACGCUAAUACCGCAUACGUCCUACGGGAGAAAGCAGGGGACCUUCCGGCCUUGCGCUAUCAUAUGAGCCUAGGUCGGAUUAGCUAGUUGGUGGGGUAAUGGCUCACCAAGGCGACUGUCCGUAACUGGUCUGAGAGGAUGAUCAUUCCACUGGAACUGAGACACGGUCCAUACUCCUACGGGAGGCAGCAGUGGGGAAUAUUGGACAAUGGUCGAAAGCCUGAUCCAGCCAUGCCGCGUGUGUGAAGAAGGUCUUCGGAUUGUAAAGCACUUUACGUUGGGAGGAAGGGCAGUAAAUUAAUACUU
rnacentral:rRNA from 1 species